GAUUCUGGCUCAGGAUGAGCGCUAGCUACAGGCUUAACACAUGCAAGUCGAGGGGCAGCAUGACGGAAGCUUGCUUCUGUCGAUGGCGACCGGCGCACGGGUGAGUAACGCGUAUCCAACCUGCCCGCUGCUCUGGGAUAGCCUCGUGAAAACGAGAUUAAUACCGGAUGGCCUUCAGAACCGACAUCGGUUUUGAAGUAAAGAUUUAUCGGCAGCGGAUGGGGAUGCGUUCCAUUAGGUUGUUGGCGGGUAACGGCCCACCAAGCCGACGAUGGAUAGGGGUUCUGAGAGGAAGGUCCCCCACAUUGGAACUGAGACACGGUCCAAACUCCUACGGGAGGCAGCAGUGAGGAAUAUUGGUCAAUGGGCGAGAGCCUGAACCAGCCAAGUAGCGUGAGGGGAAUGACUGCCCUAUGGGUUGUAAACCUCUUUUAUACGGGAAUAAAGUGCUCCACGUGUGGAGCUUUGCAUGUACCGUAAGAAUAAGCAUCGGCUAAUUCCGUGCCAGCCGCAGC
rnacentral:rRNA from 1 species